AGGUUCACCUUAAAAUUAGGUUAUUCUCAUUGACUCUAUGAUAACUAUUUGGUUUUAAAAAGUCAGUCGAAAUGUCAAUUAACCUGAAAUUUUCUAAAAUAUUUUUACAAAUUUUGGUAAACAAAGUAGCUUGAGCAUUAAUUUGUUAAUCCAUAGUGGGAAUGUGUAUUUAGUCACAUAAAUCAAGCAAAUUAGGCGCCAGGAAAAGUAUACUUAUGAGAAAUUUUUCUAAAAGAAAAAUACGUAAGUAACUAGUUAGUUAGAAGAAACAAAACAUUUAUAGGGUCAGUUUGAAUUUUAUACGCCUGUCAGGACCUUUUUGAAACACCUUGAGGUAUUAGGUGUUUAAAUAUAAAGUAACUAGUUGUAAACAGUGAAUAGGAGUAACGGGGCUAGAAGAUUAUACAUGCUGAUACGGAGACUGGAGAUUUUUUCCCCUGAUUCCUGGUUUAACAACAUGAAUCGUGCUUAGAGCUCAGAUAUGCUUACUAGUUAAAUUAAUUAAUUUGAUUUGAAUUGAUGUAGUAUACACAUUAAUUAUUCUAAAUGAUAAUUAUAUUUAUUUGAAAUUUGUUUUUAUACUUCAGGUGAUAGUUAAAUACCUAUUGUCUUUAGUUACUGACUGAAGUCUUAUAAUAAUUAUAAAUGCAAACAAUUUUCUGUGUU